CAAGACGUAGCACAGCUUGGUAGUGUGGUUGCUUUGGGAGCAACAGGUCGCCGGUUCGAAUCCGGCCGUCUUGA
rnacentral:tRNA from 2 species